GUAUUCGUUCGUCCUUACCAAUCUGUAACAUUCGUGAGCUGACCUUGUGCUGGGGACACCCCGGUGGCUGAGACAGCCCCAGUCUCCAUGCUACGGAGCUCACAGUUCAGUGAGGGACGUAGACGCAUCACCAGGGGACACAGGUUCGAUCCCUGGUCUGAGAAGAUUCCACAUGCCUCGGAUCAACUGAGCCCAUGUGCCACGACUACUGAGCCCACGCACUACAGCCUGUGCUCCACAACAAGAGAAGCCACCGCAAUGGGAAGCCUGAGCACCGCAACUAGAGCAGUCCCUGCUUACUGCAAUUGGAGGAAGCCCAUGAGCAGCAAUGAAGAGCCAGCACAGCCAAAAAUAAAUAAAAGUCAUUUCUUCACUGGACCAUUACCUGCCUCCCUGUUUAAAAUGACAGCCCCUCACCGUCAUUUUGGUGGUUGUUUUGGUGAUUGGUUACUUCCAAUCACCCUUACUCUGCUUUAUUUCUCCCCACAGUUCUCUUACUGUUUCACUAUUUACUAUAUUUGUUACCUUUCACACCCCACAAGAACAUGA
rnacentral:lncRNA from 1 species